UACGGAGGGUGCAAGCGUUAUCCGGAUUUACUGGGCGUAAAGCGCGUGUAGGCGGAUGGACAAGCCUGAGGUGAAAGGUUGGGGCUCAACCCCAUACAGUGCCUUGGGGACUGUUCGUCUGGAGGCCGGCAGAGGAGAGUGGAAUUCCUGGUGUAGCGGUGGAAUGCGUAGAGAUCAGGAAGAACACCCAUGGCGAAGGCAGCUCUCUGGGCCGGUACUGACGCUGAGACGCGAAAGCGCGGGGAGCGAACGGG
rnacentral:rRNA from 1 species